GGGAAGCAGAGGGAUGGCAUCCUUCGGCUAGUAUGCUGUAUUCUCUUCACCACACAAUUUUCAUCCCAGUGGGAUAGCAUCAAGUGAAGUCCCGGGGCCUCUCCAGUGAUAAUGGCAGACAUCAGUGCCAGUGCUGACUCUGGCUGGGAAACAACUGACCCUGCGGAAUGCCUGUCAAUGGAGGAGCAGCACUGUGGGGAGGUAUCUAGCUGAGGGAUUCAGAUGGUGAACCAAUUGCCAGAGGUCACACAAGUCACUGCUCAAGAAAUACAAAUCUUCUCAAUCACUUCUCCCAGUGAAAGCUUCUGUGAGGACAAGGCAGGAGCAGAGAAUGUCUCAUCCAUGAUGGCAGGGCACCCCUCCAACCCAGAAAAUGGAGCCAGGAACUGUGCGAGAAAUGGAAGUCAGAGGGGAGCUGAGAUAAGUUACUGAAAUGAGGGUGUCAUGGAAGAGAUCAACAACUGCCUACAGCAGAUGCCAUGCUUUUCACAAAAGCCAUCUUGUCUUCUCAUUUUUGUCUGCAUAUUUGAAGGUAAGGACUCCAAAGAGACAGGUGGUAAAGAGAAAUAAAUUGGGGUUUCACCAAGAACUUCA